rnacentral:rRNA from 1 species
CCUACGGGCGGCUGCAGUGGGGAAUAUUGCACAAUGGGCGCAAGCCUGAUGCAGCCAUGCCGCGUGUGUGAAGAAGGCCUUCGGGUUGUAAAGCACUUUCAGCGGGGAGGAAGGCGGUGAGGUUAAUAACCUCAUCGAUUGACAUUACCCGCAGAAGAAGCACCGGCUAACUCCGUGCCAGCAGCCGCGGUAAUACGGAGGGUGCAAGCGUUAAUCGGAAUUACUGGGCGUAAAGCGCACGCAGGCGGUCUGUCAAGUCGGAUGUGAAAUCCCCGGGCUCAACCUGGGAACUGCAUUCGAAACUGGCAGGCUAGAGUCUUGUAGAGGGGGGUAGAAUUCCAGGUGUAGCGGUGAAAUGCGUAGAGAUCUGGAGGAAUACCGGUGGCGAAGGCGGCCCCCUGGACAAAGACUGACGCUCAGGUGCGAAAGCGUGGGGAGCAAACAGGAUUAGAUACCCGAGUAGUC